GGAGGAGUGGCCGAGUGGUUUAAGGCGGCGGUCUUGAAAACCGCUGUACCCGGAAGGGUACCGUGGGUUCGAAUCCUACCUCCUCCGCCA
rnacentral:tRNA from 1 species